AACGUGUGUGUGAUCCAGCGGAGAAUCUAGCAGAUCAGUUUUGUUUUGGGGCGUUGUCUUAUCCACUCCACAGCGGUGUGUGAUCCAAAGAUCUGCAGACGUGACACUGAGUGUAUGAGUGAUCCCUCAGUCCCUGAGUCGUCAAAACUUCUGCGCCAACAAACUGUGAUCUUCACUGCGAGCGCCACAUUGUUCCCAACCGCGGCUGGAAGUCGGAGCUGUCAAGACGAACUGAGGUCACGCUUGCUCUGUCUCCCUCACUAGCCUGUUGUCGUCCAUAGUGGUGCCGCUCAGCGCUAACUAGGCUGCCUCCGAGCCCACAGCUACAUCCAAGAUGAUGGCUACCAUGGCAGCAGCCAUUGGAUACACCGGCAAACCUCACCUGCAACAAUCAAAGUGGGAGAAGAGAGAAAACAUAUUUUCCAUCAUUAAAACCUUU